UAGUUCUUUACUACUGAAGCAUUAUAGUGGCAUUCAUGCAAUGACAAAGUUAAAUAUGGUGACCCAGACUCAGAGUUUGUACUCUGCAUUUAACCCAUCCGAAGUGCACACACAGAGCAGUGAACAGACAGCAGUCCGUUUUAACCACUUUCUUUUAUUUAAAAUUAUAAUCAAGAAAUGUACAUUGAGAUCACACAGUUAUCAAAGGCAUAAGCUAGAUCAAGACUUGUAUCAGCAUUGCACAAACAUUUGCUGUAAAACAAUAAUGCAAUUGCUUAGAAGCAAUUUCAUAGAAACUGCUUAAAGGCUCAAGAGCUCAACUGAAGCUAAUACUCACCACAAUUAUUGUGGCACAGUUUUUUUUUUUUUUUUUCUUCUUCCAGUUGAUUUCAUGCAAGGCUGUGCUUAAAGUCAGUUGUAGUUCUUGUGUUUCUCUUUUCCUCAGUGAUGUUAAUUGUUAACAGCUGGGAUUUGACCCAAGACUAGUUUGUGACUUGGAAGGAAUGACGUUUCCUCCUCUGAUGAAAUCUGCUGUUCAUGGGUGGAGCAAAAAAACGGCAGGACUUUUACUCUUUGCCCCCUGGAUUACCCACCUCUGUAAAUAGCAGCAGGCUACCUUCUCAAAAAUUAUGAAUAUUACCCAGAAGGGAUGAAAAACAGGUGUACUUGACUUGCAGUGGCAGAAACUACAUUUUGUUUGACAUCCUACUGUACAACUGCAUUUCAUAUACUUUGUGGGAACUCCUUGUUUUCAGAGCCAUAAGCCCAUUUUCUUCUUUCACAAGCUGACCUAAAAUAGAAGAACAACAGACUUGGCCAUGGUCAUACCAUCCAUGGAGAAAUCAAAUGCAGCAGUCUGCAGGUUAAGACGAUAUGCAUUUCCACUGGUUUGUUUUCUUUGGACAUCAUUCAGUUUGGCUCUGUGGGUAUUGAAUGAUGGGAUUCACAUAAAACAAUUUCAGCCCCCCAGACCUAAACCAGUUCCACAAACGUACAAUUCAUCGAUAAUAUCAGCUGUUGACAUGGGAAUUAGUGAUGAGGAGUGGGAAAGACUACAGAAGUCUCUGGAUUGGCCAAUGCCAGAUCAAGAAAUCACUCAUCUAAAUCAGAGCACAAGUCCAGUCCACUCAACUUUCUCUAUUGUGGGACUCAAAGAGAGUUACAAAGUGGGUGAAAACAUCUCUGUUAUUAUCAGAGCCAGAGACCACAACGACAAGCUGAAAAGAUAUGGAGGAGACUUUUUCAAAGCAAAACUUUUCAAUUCAGACCUGAAGGCGAGUGUGUACGGGGAAGUUGUGGAUCAUCAUAAUGGGACUUACUCUGUUGCUUUUCGUCUGGCCUGGGAAGGUCAGGCACAUAUUCAUAUACGUCUAGAACACUCCAGUGAGGUUGUGCAGAUUCUUAAGAAAUACAGGGAGUCUUCAUUCCCACGCAGCCACUAUAGUGGCUACUUUGAAGGAUCAGGACCCAAUAAAACCAGGAUCAGUGAAGUAGUAGAAUGUAAUCUUAAGUGGGGUGCAGAUGGAAGUUGGAGAAAAGGCGACUGCUGUUGUGAGCAUAAAGAUAUAAGAACAGGGACGGUGUGGCAGUGUGUCAGACCGAAGAAACUUUCCUGUGACAAACUGGUUCAUCACUCACUUGGACGGUUUGAAAACCCAUUAAAUCCUUUUGAGCAGCAGCUUUUUACAAAGAAAUUAACAAAUGUUGCUAUUAGGGGAGACCAAAACAUCAUACAUGUCCUUCCCAACACUACAGCCAUUGGCACAGUGGAGAAAUGCAGGACUGGCACGAUGACACCAGUUCCUUCAGGGUUUUAUUUGAGAGAUGUCUGGAAGUCUUUUGUAUGCAACACUCGACAGUUCAGUUCUGCACAAAUGGGAAAUUGUCUUAAAAACAAGAUUGUCUAUUUGAUGGGAGACUCCACUACGAGGCAGUGGUUUGAGUACUUCGAAAGAAACAUGCCGGGCAUAAAAAGGCUGGACCUCCACACUCCUCGUACAGGUGGACCCUUGAUGGCUGUGGAGUUGAAAAAUAAUACCAUUAUUCACUGGAAGCCACACGGUGUACCUUUGAGAUUUACUAAAAUGCUCAUAACUGACCUGCAUUAUAUCAGCAAUGAUAUUGAUGAAAUAGCUGGUGGACAUCAUGUAGUCAUUGUCUUCACAUUCUUUGCUCACCUGGUUUUUCACCCGAUAACAUUUUAUGUGUAUGAAGUGGCCAAAAUCCGUCAGUCUGUUGUUGCACUGCUGAGCCGUGCUCCAGAGACCAUCAUCAUCAUAAAGUCUGGAAACACUGCAGGACUAAAGAAUAUUUUUCAAAGUGAUUGGUACGUUUUGCAGUUGGACACAGUGAUGCGGGAGAUGUUCAGAGAUAUUGAAGGAAUCAUCUUCUUAGAUGUCUGGCAGAUGACUUCCUGUCACUAUCUAAGAGAAGACAUUCACCCAGGACCUAUCAUCGUUGCUAAUGAAGUCAACAUGUUGCUCUCAUAUAUCUGUCCCACCUGAGGCCUGUUCAAGUUAAUUUGGUUGCAAAAAGAAAAUGGGAAACUAACCUGCAGGGAAGGCUAACUGUCAAGAUAUAUCAGCAUUCAGCACACAGGAUCAGAUUUGGUUAGUCCAGGGCCAAAGAGUAAACGUCCUGCCAUAUUUUUGCUCCACUGAUUAACUCAGCAUCUGAUUUCAACAGAGGAGGAAACAAGUAAUUCCUUCCAAGUCACAAAGUAGUCUCAAGUUAAAUCUCAAGUCCUCAAAGAGUUAAAGUUAAUGAGAUAAUUAAGUGGCUAAUUAAAUGAAGAUUGUGCAGUGAUUAACACCUGCUGUUAACAAUCAACACUAUGCCACCAUAAUUGUGGUCAAGGUUUGCUUUAGAUAGUCUCUUGUCUCUUUUGCUAAUUUAAAUGAAUUUGAUUCAAAACACUUGAUAUAUUGUUUUCACAACAAAUGCGUAUGCACUGCUGAAUCAAACCUUACAGUAACAGAUGAUUUUAUGUUUUUUUUUUUUUUUUUUUUCUAUUUAAAACUUCUGAUGAUUGAACAAAAUGUAAUAGUCUUUAUCUUUGCAUUGUUGACUGACACUCAGCUAUUACUGAACUGAAGCAAAGAAAAAAGAAAAGUCCCCACCAAACAAACACCACUGCAAUGCUUCAGCGUUGAAACACAAAAAAAGGAAACUGUCAGUUCAGGCUUUUAGACAUGCACAGUUAUUACACGAUACUCAACAAUGGUGACCAUUUUUCAUACUGCAGUGCAUGACGAGUUUUUACUCUGGUGUUGAUUUUGUUGAUUGUCACAUGCUGGUUCUUGAUGUAUAUGUGUGUCUACAGAGGAGUGGUGCUUUAAUUUUGUAUGCACUUAAUAGACUUAAAAUUUAAUCACUGUAAUUUUUGGGUUGAUUAUGCAAAACUCAAAAUAAAACGAAUGUUAAUUUUACUCAGACCAGGUCAUGACAAUUAGUUUAUCACAUAUAGACAGUUAAUAGUGUUUCUCUGCUUUACAGCACCCCAUACAAAUACUGCAUAAAAAAAAUUGAACACAAGUCAAGGGUCAAGAGCCCAACUUAAGCAAACAUUGAUCUCCAUUAUGGUUGCAUCAUUUUAACCAAUAAAACAUCAACAUCUGAUCCUUAGUACUUCUCAAUAACAGCAGUUGUUCAUCACUAGUGCAGAAUCAUCAUUCAAUUAGUCAACAUUUGGUUUGUUAAUUAGACUUGGGAUAUGAUUUGAAGACUUGCUUGGGGCUUGAAAGUCACACCUCUGCUGAUGACAGAUAACUGUUUUUCAAUUGAAAGCUCAUAAUGGAUGUAUUUGGUAAAUUUGUGUAAGCAGUACACUUCAAAAUAUGCAUACUCAAAAAUGCAGUACAUUCCAGAUUAAAUUAAUUUAUGGAAACUUAAAUUGUUCACAAUACCACCGGGUGGCCAACGAGUGUAAAACAAGCAGAUAUAUUACAGACAGAGGUGUAAAGUCCAGGGGUCAGAAAGUAAAAGUCCUGCCAUAUUUUUGUUCCACUCAUGAACUCAGCAGCUGAUUUCAUCAGAGGAACCAAGUCAUUCCUUCCAAGUCACAAACUGUCUGUAAUAUAUCUGCUUGUUUUACACUCAUUGGCCACCAGGUGGCAUUGAGAGAAAAUUAAGUUUCCUAAAAUUAACCCUUUUGUGAACCGCUUGGCUGAAAAGCUUAAAGCUUCAUGAGGUUUCAACUUGCCAUCACUACUCACAGCCUUUCUGUGUUCUAAAAAAUGUUCUAAGAACAUCACCAUGUAUUGUUCUAACAAUUUUGUUCUAGUUCUAGUUUUAUUUUUGUUCCCAGAACGUUCCAUCAAAAGAUAGGAUAACAUUCUCUAAAAACUUUCUGAAAAAUAAUUAGAACAAUAUUCUCUGACAUUCUAAUUCAGAUUUAAGCAAAUGUUUAGAUGUUGAUGUCUGUUUAAGAGUAAUAAUUUGGUUUGAUGUUAACAUAAUGCUGGUAAGUGUUGACUUUAGUUGUGCAAUUUGACACCUGACUUCAGUGACUUUUUUAGCAGCUCUAAUGUUUAUUAUGGCAAAGGAUCAUGUGGUUAAAUGCUGUUUGUUGUGUGCUGAUGAUUGAGACAUGAUCACAUAUGUCAUUUAGUCACCUGGUUUCACUUAAGCUAAUGUACAGUGUUACUUGCUUAUUUAUUAAAGUGAAUCAGUGGGUCAA